UAUCUCUCUGUCCUCUCUCCCUUAUCUGUUUCUCUUCCGAUCUGAGCGGCGGCGGCGACGCUCGCAUCCGGCGACGGUUCCACCACUCCGCCCAUCUCUUCCUCCCACCACUCCGUCCAUCUCUUCCUCCCACCACUCCAUCACCAUCCCCACAUCGCUACUGAUUUCCCAUGUUGAGGUGGUCCUGCGGCGCCGAUGCCCUCACCCAGCUGCCGGUGGCGGCGCUUUUUGUUCGUGCCCAAGCGCUCGGUGAGGUCACCUCUCACCUCCCUCCUAUGGUGCCACCGCCCCAAGCCCCCAACCCAUACGCAGCUCCCUCUUCCCCACUCCCAUUGUUGCAGAUCUGAGCGGGACAAGGUCCCUUCGGCCCUGGUGGUUCGGAACGAGGUGUGCGGCCUCUGCUCCCUUAACUUCUGGAGACUAGGGGCGCGGUGGCUGGUGCCCCAUCUCUCUUAGCCAUCCACAGCGGCAACAACAUCAGGUCAAACAAACUUUCAUAGGUUUGGUGGAUGUUUGGGCAAUUACUCAACUACUAACAAAAGGCCACUGGAUGAUUUUUAUACCUGCAUCACAUCAAGUGGAUUUGGAUAGCACACAAGCUGGCAUGGUCUUCAUCGUGGAUUCAAUCUCCACACGAGUGGAGUGGCCUCUGCCUUGUGCCGCAGCUGCGGACGGGCAGAGGAGACGACGACGUAGGGCACACGGAGCUAGCAACCCUAGAAGCCAUGAUGCCCGCGAACAAAAUUACCUGAAGGAUAGGAAACAGACUACCUGAUCUCACGGAUGCAUGUAGUCUUUUUUUUCUGAUGCGUACAACAAGCGAUCAGGGCAUCAAGGGAUGCUUUCUCACAUUGGGCGUUUGGGCUGGAAAAUUCGUGAUAGGCCAUUAGUGUCAAACACUAAAAGAAACCAGGUUUGCACUUUACGUAUACGUACAGUUCAUAUCAGUACCAGGUAACGAAAACUCAUAGGGGGGCGAGGCGAUGGGGGGUGUCUGACCCCUGCUCGCACCCCCCGCCUCCGCCUCUGACCUAGACUUGAUUAUUGUUUUAUCAUUGUGGUAGGUGACUAGCUAAAAUAAAUUUUGCAUAAUAAAUAUUAGCCAUUAAAGAUGACCAGCUCCAUGAUUAAUAAGUGAGGCUGCUUACUUUGUUAAGUUUGAGGAUUGGUAAUAAAAUAGGUACUUAUCCUGGAACCACUAAAAUCCAAGAUACAUGAUUUUGGUGGUUCCAGGGUAAGUACCUAUUUUGUUAUUUCAGCAUUAUACAUGAUUAAUGCUUUGAAGGUAAGUGUAAUAAACACAUGAUUGCUGUACAUGAAUCCAUGAUUAUUUUCUUUGGGAGAUACUAUAUUUUUCUUUGUAAGUGUAAUGAUUACAUCCAUUUAUGUGCAAUAACAUUGCAGAAUAUUCGAUAGAGAACUCAGCAAUCAAACCUACGUACAUGUUAACAUGUGAGGGUGCAACCGAAUAGCUGUACAUGAAUCUGGAACAAGAGGAAGAACCGAGGAUUCUUCAAGAAGCUGCUUCUAUUCGUGCACAACGGCGUCGUAGUCAGGGUUCAAUUGACACAUGGUGUGUAAGCAUUUGCCUAUCUACCUAAAGGGUAUGCUGGAGGGUUGCCAACAUCAAUGUGCUAUGUGCUGCAGAAAUGGAUUUUCAAAAACCUCUAGCACAUGGUGUCCUAGGAAUUCCUGGAUAUGUCGACCUGCUAGCUCAUUAUCAGGUUUUGAUGCAUCUAUUAAUCAUAUGAUAAAAGAACCAGAACAUGGAUAAAUUUUGUAUAGUGUAGUUGUAGUAUCUAGCUUGGCUGCUUUUAGAGGUCUGAGCUAUAGAAGUUACCGCGGUAAAUAAAGUCUAAAGUAUUCUGUAAACGCCUACAUAUUUUUGCCCCAUUAUGUUUAAUCUUUGGUGAGAAAUACAAUUACGCUCCAUAAAAUGAGCUAAUGUCGGAGAAGGUCGCUCUCAGUUUUAGUUUAAAACCAUUCGUUAUGUUGCCAACUACUUUCUAAAUUUUAAUGCGGUCACAGUAAAGUCAUCUAAUGGACAGCUCCUUGUAUAAUUUAACUUGUUGAUAUUCACAGAAGCCUUCUUGUUAUCAAUGAAUAUAGUGUUCUAGAAAUAAGGACACUUUAACUAGUGCUUAGUAUGCCCAUUUACAUGGUUACCUAAACUUGAAUGGAGUGCCUUUCUUAGUAGGUGUUUGGUACUAGCUUGCCUUGUGAAGUAAUAGUUGUUCUCAAUGCUAUGCUUUAUACAAAUUUUUAUGGUGCCAUUGUCUUUAUGAAUGUAAUCACAACUUUACAUUAUGUAGGAAAAAUAGGCAAGGAGACGAGGAAACAUGAAGACGGUGGUUUGUGUAAAUGGGAUAUUUUGUGUAAUGGUGACUGAAUCGUUGGAGAUGCACUUUAUAUAUCAUUUUGUAAACUCGCUGACAAAAUGAACCAUAUUGUAAUGGAUGAAGUAUUUACAUCUGAAAUUAAUUAAUGUGUUAUUGUUUGGUUA